rnacentral:rRNA from 1 species
UACAGGGGGUGCAAACGUUGCUCGGAAUUAUUGGGCGUAAAGCGCACGUAGGCGGUUCGUUAUGUCAGAUGUGAAAGCCCUUGGCUCAACUGAGGAAGUGCAUCUGAAACUGGCGAGCUAGAGUAUGUAAGAGGGUCGCGGAAUUCCCGGUGUAGAGGUGAAAUUCGUAGAUAUCGGGAGGAACACCGGUGGCGAAGGCGGCGACCUGGGACAAUACUGACGCUGAGGUGCGAAAGCGUGGGGAGCAAA